GGGUUAGUAGGUUGGUCAUGCCUCUGGUAUGUACUGGACCCACUGAUUCCUCCUUCCUGACGAACCUUAAUGCCAUUUAUUUGGUGUUUUGGGGAAUUUGGACUGUUACUUUGAAAAAUUAGAGUGUUUAAAGCAAGCUAACGCUUGAAUACAUUAGCAUGGAAUAAUGAAAUAGGACGUUCGAUCCUAUUUUGUUGGUUUCUAGGAUUGACGUAAUGAUUAAUA
rnacentral:rRNA from 1 species